GCUGGUUUGGCUCAGUGGGUAGAGCGUCAGCCUGCGGACUGAAGGAGCCCGGAUUCGAUUCCCGGCAAGGGCA
rfam:Myotis brandtii contig177895, whole genome shotgun sequence.